AUUGAACGCUGGCGGCAGGCCUAACACAUGCAAGUCGAACGAGUGGCGGACGGGUGAGUAAUGUCUGGGAAACUGCCUGAUGGAGGGGGAUAACUACUGGAAACGGUAGCUAAUACCGCAUACCAUCGGAUGUGCCCAGAUGGGAUUAGCUAGUAGGUGGGGUAAAGGCUCACCUAGGCGACGAUCCCUAGCUGGUCUGAGAGGAUAAACACAAACAUGGGAACUGAGACACGGUCAGGAGUACUACGGGAGGGAGCAGUGGGGAAUAUUGAACAAUGGGCGCAGGCCUGAUACAGCCAUGCCGCGUGUAGGAAGAAGGCCUGCGGGUUGUAAAGUACUUUCAGCGGGGAGGCGUUACCCGCAGAAGAAGCACCGGCUAACUCCGUGCCAGCAGCCGCGGUAAUAC
rnacentral:rRNA from 1 species